GACGAACGCUGGCGGCGUGCUUAACACAUGCAAGUCGUACGGUAAGGCCCUUUCGGGGGUACACGAGUGGCGCACGGGUGAGUAACACGUGAGUAACCUGCCCACAACUUUGGGAUAACGCUAGGAAACUGGUGCUAAUACUGGAUAUGUGCUCCUGCUGCAUGGUGGGGGUUGGAAAGCUCCGGCGGUUGUGGAUGGACUCGCGGCCUAUCAGCUUGUUGGUGGGGUAGUGGCCUACCAAGGCGGCGACGGGUAGCCGGCCUGAGAGGGUGACCGGCCACAUUGGGACUGAGAUACGGCCCAGACGCCUACGGGAGGCAGCAGGGGGGAAUAUUGCACAAUGGGCGCAAGCCUGAUGCAGCAACGCCGCGUGCGGGAGGACGGCCUUCGGGUUGGAAACCGCUUUCAGCAGGGACGAAGCUUUUUGUGACGGUACCUGCAGAAGAAGCACCGGCUAACUACGUG
rnacentral:rRNA from 1 species